rnacentral:rRNA from 1 species
AUGCCAGGGUGCAUUCAGCAAGUGGUAGAGGAAUUUGCAGAUGUGUUGGAGGAACCAACAGGUUUACCACCGAGGCGUGACUGCGAUCAUAGAAUCCCACUGAUCCCUGGGGCACAACCAUUCAGCAUCAGACACUAUCGUCACAAACCUGAUCAUAAGGAUGAGAUCGAGAAGCAAGUAGCUGAACUUUUGAAGUCUGGAGUUAUUCAACGCAGUAAUAGUCCUUUCACCUCCCCGGUGAUCCUUGUGAAGAAGAAGGAUGGGACUUGGCGUUUAUGCAUUGAUUAUCAACACCUCAACGCUCUGACAUGCAUUGGCAAAUAUCCUGUGCCGGUGAUCGAGGAGCUUCCCGAUGAGCUACACAGAGCUGUGUGGUUUUCCAAGCUUGACCUUCGCACAGGUUACCAUCAGAUCAGAUUGGCGGAAGGAGAGGAAUACAAGACGGCCUUCCAAACCCAUUCAGGGCACUACGAAUACAAGGUUGUGUCUUUUGGUAUGGUGGGAGGACAGGGCACUUUCAAUGGAGCUAUGCAUGAAGGAAAUAUGCCCUAG